rnacentral:rRNA from 1 species
GACAGAGGGUGCAAACGUUGCUCGGAAUCACUGGGCGUAAAGGGCGUGUAGGCGGAUCGGCAAGUCGGGCGUGAAAUCCCUGGGCUCAACCCAGGAACUGCACUCGAAACUGCCUUUCUUGAGUGCCGGAGAGGAAAGCGGAAUACCUGGUGUAGAGGUGAAAUUCGUAGUUAUCAGGUGGAACACCAGUGGCGAAGGCGGCUUUCUGGACGGUAACUGACGCUGAGACGCGAAAGCGUGGGGAGCAAACAGG